UGGGGAAUUUUGGACAAUGGGCGAAAGCCUGAUCCAGCAAUGCCGCGUGUGUGAAGAAGGCCUUCGGGUUGUAAAGCACUUUUGUCCGGAAAGAAAUCCUUGGCUCUAAUACAGUCGGGGGAUGACGGUACCGGAAGAAUAAGCACCGGCUAACUACGUGCCAGCAGCCGCGGUAAUACGUAGGGUGCAAGCGUUAAUCGGAAUUACUGGGCGUAAAGCGUGCGCAGGCGGUUUGCUAAGACCGAUGUGAAAUCCCCGGGCUCAACCUGGGAACUGCAUUGGUGACUGGCAAGGCUAGAGUAUGGCAGAGGGGGGUAGAAUUCCACGUGUAGCAGUGAAAUGCGUAGAGAUGUGGAGGAAUACCGAUGGCGAAGGCAGCCCCCUGGGCCAAUACUGACGCUCAUGCACGAAAGCGUGGGGAGCAAACAGGAUUAGAUACCCCUGGUAGUCCACGCCCUAAACGAUGUCAACUAGUUGUUGGGGAUUCAUUUCCUUAGUAACGUAGCUAACGCGUGAAGUUGACCGCCUGGGGAGUACGGUCGCAAGAUUAAAACUCAAAUGAAUUGACGGGGUCAUAGCUG
rnacentral:rRNA from 1 species